ACUUCUACAACUCUCUCAACAAGUCUUCUUAUGAUCUAAGACCAAAAUCACGGGCAAACCAAGUGAUUCUAACAUGAAGAAUUCCAUCAUCAUCACUAGAUUGUUCUUCCUCUUGUGGUGUUGAAUUUGGAGACUUCUUGGAGGUGAAGGAAUUUCGAACUUAGAGUGAUCCUUGUGAUUGAAGGUUAUGAACCCAUCGUUGAUACGGAUACUUCGUUUACUGUAGAUAAUCAUUCAUAGAGUGUAUGAGGACUCGUGGGAUCCGUAUACUAAGAAGACAAGGAAAGCAGGGAGACGGAUCAGGUCCUUAGGAGCUUCAUCAGCGGAGUUUCAAGAGCGCUCCAUUUGUUUCGAAGCUGCAGUUUAUUGGUAUUACUCUUUUGUAUAGAUAUACUUGGCCAUGGCGGAGUCCUGCUCCGUCUUUAUGGAUUCAUGUAUUCUAUAUAGAGAUUUGUAGACAGAUGUAUCUAGAUAACCUUAUCAGUUCAUAUUGUUGUAUAAUAUUUUGACAGUCUUGUCGGCUUAUGGCGAUGGACAUAGUUGUUGAUGAU